rnacentral:misc_RNA from 1 species
CGGCUGUUCACGCUUCAGAUAUGGGAUACCGCAGGGCAGGAAAGGUUUCAGAGCCUUGGUGUGGCAUUUUACCGUGGAGCAGAUUGCUGUGUCCUUGUGUAUGACGUUAAUGUGAUGAAAUCUUUUGAAAAUUUGAACAACUGGCGAGAGGAAUUUCUUAUCCAGGCUAGCCCAUCCGACCCUGAGAACUUUCCGUUUGUGGUGUUGGGAAACAAGAUCGAUAUUGAUGGCGGCAACAGUCGUGUGGUCUCUGAGAAGAAGGCAAGAGCAUGGUGUGCUUCGAAAGGGAAUAUCCCUUAUUUUGAGACAUCUGCUAAAGAGGGAUUCAAUGUGGAAGCUGCUUUCGAGUGCAUAGCCAAGAACGCUCUCACGAAUGAACCUGAUGAUGAGAUUUACAUUCCGGACACUAUUGAUGUAUCUGGCGGUGGACGGACACAGCGGUCAACUGGUUG